GGGGGUGUUUGGGGUCUUCCCGACCUCUCCUUAUUUUUUCCCCCUUUCCUCUCCUCUCUCCGUAUUUUCGCCCCUCGCUCGAGCUCGGCCUCUUGAUCCUUCCCUCUCCGAUUCCGCAACCUCCCCGCUCCCAACCGCGACAAUGAGUGACGAUGGAGAAAGGACUUGCCCUCUGUGCGCAGAGGAGAUGGAUCUUACUGACCAACAGUUGAAGCCUUGCAAAUGUGGCUAUGAGAUUUGUAUUUGGUGUUGGCAUCAUAUAAUUGAGAUGGCCGAGAAAGAAGACACCGAGGCUCGGUGUCCAGCAUGCCGUACACCUUAUGAUAAAGACAGAGUCCUUAAAGUGGCUGCUGCCAAUUCUGAGAGGAUAAUAGCUGAGAUGUAUUCUGAGAAAAAGCAAAAGUCUCAAAGAGCAAAGACCAAGAUAUCUGCAGAAGCUAUGAAGCAUCUUAGCAGUGUCAGAGUGAUGCAAAAAAAUCUUGUAUACAUAACUGGAUUACCGACCAGCUUAUGUGAUGAAAGUAUUCUUGAGCGCAAAGAAUACUUUGGUCAGUAUGGGAAAGUUCUAAAGGUUUCAAUUUCUCGUCCUGCUGGAACAUCUUUCCAGAAAACAAGUAACAGCGCAUUUGGCGUGUAUAUUACAUAUGCCAAAGAUGAGGAAGCUGUUCGAUGUAUACAAGCUGUACAUAACUUUGUGUUAGAAGGUAAAUCCUUGAGGGCAUGUUAUGGUACCACAAAGUAUUGCCGUGCAUGGUUAAGAAAUAUGACUUGCAGCAAUCCCGAUUGUCUAUAUUUGCAUGACAUAGGUAGCCAGGAGGAUAGCUUCACUAAAGAUGAGAUAAUUUCUGCUUAUACAAGGAGUAGGGUUCCACAAAUUGCUUCGAGCAAUUCUCAACGUCGUUCAGGAAAUGUUUUACCCUCACCAAUGGAUGACUUGAACAACAAUGGAACAGUCUUGGACAAGCAUCCAGUCAAGAGUGCCUGUAAUAGUGCCUCAAGUCUAGUCAAAGGUUUACCUCUUAAUACGGGUGCUGGGAAGUCCAAUGCAUUACCAGCCGCUGCUUCAUGGGGACUUCGUGGUUCAAAUUGCCGGCUUUUGGCUUCAAGUGUACAGUACUCUCAAACUCAUGCCAAACAGAAAGUAGAGACUAUCAACAAUUCAUCUUUACAUUCUUUAUUGUCGAGAAGUCCAAAGCAUUCUUCGGCGCAGCAUGAUGGAUUACUUAUGACAUCAAAGAUACCUGAAAGCAAGGAAGCUGUUGGUGCCAUAUCUGGUCCAUUGGAACCUUUACAACUUGGUACUUUGGCAGAUUUACAACUGACUCUAUCACCAGAGACAAUCGUCAAUGAUGAUUCUUCUUUAAGACCUUCAUCAAAUGAUGACCUGACGCUGGCAGGCAGCACCAAAUAUCUUCAUCGGAAUGGUCAAAACAGGUUGUCUCAGAGAUAAGCGAUACUUCCCAUGUUUCAUCAGGUUCCUUAUCUAGCUCUCCAGCUGUAGCACUUGAAGAAAAGGAAAGAGACAUUGCUUUAAAUUGUAUUGACAUGAAGCCAAGAAAUACCAUUAUUUCUAAAAACCAUGUUAGACAAUUUAGCAACUCUGGUCCUGAUAGAGUUAUCCAUGAUUCUACUGUUGUUAAUGGUGAGGUGCAGAGCAUGGGUUCAGGAUUUUCUUCAGUUAAUAUAGACGGCCAUGAUAUGGAGAAUCAGUUAGAUAUUGACCAGCAUCAAACCUUAUCCUCUGAUCUCUGCUCAAGUGAGAGGUCCAGAAGUCGAGAUUUAGAUUCAGCCCCAGUUGCAUUGAGCACAAAUGAAUUAACUGAUUGGAAUUCUAAGCGCUCAAAACAACAAUUGAUCUCCUUUAUUGAUGGGAAGGAAGAUUCUGUGAAAGUGCAUAACAAUCAGUCUGUACCUUGUCUAAGUCCCCAAGAUACUAAUACAAAUCAUGCAAGUUCUACCUCCUGCAGUGAUGGACUCGGAAGUAAACAACACCAAUUUAUUGAUAGUUCAUUGGACAUGGAUAGAAAGCAGGUCACCAUGUGUUCCUUAGGUGACAAAGAAUCUGCAGUUCACAAUGGACAUAGAGAGGAUGACAUAAGCUCCAACUCUUUUAGCAGGAGCGAUUUGAGUUGUCCUGGGUUCAACUGCAUGGAAGAAAAUAUGAGAACUGGUGGUGACAACAAUUCUAGUGUAGAUAAAAUGGGCGAGAGCAACAUAAUUUCGAACAUAUUGUCACUAGAUUUCAAUCCAUGGGAUGAUUCAUUAUCCUCCUCUGACAGUUUGGUUAAGCUGCUUGGUGAAAAGGAGGAACAAGAUGGGUCUUUUAAGCUAUCAAAUUCAUGGAAAUCACUAACCAGUAACCAGUCCAGAUUUUCUUUUGCCAGGCAAGAAAGUCAAGCAAGUCUUUUAGAACCUCAUGUUGGAGAAAUUGAUAAUGCUCAGAGACUUCACUCCUUAUCACAGGAUUCAUACAAAGAUAGUUUUCAUAACAGACUUCAAUUCAAUGAUUCUGACGGUUCUUAUGUUAUUACCAGUGGUGACACCUUGUCUGAUAGGACUACUAGUGUCUCGAAGGCUAAGAUAACAGCUCCACCUGGAUUCUCAGCUCCAAGCAGAGCUCCACCCCCAGGGUUUUCUAUACCAGACAGAUUUAACCAGGCAUAUGAGGGCUACACAGAAAAACAUAUGCUUGGCUGUUCUUCAGGUGGAAAUAAUUAUCAAUCAGAUUUGAUUGGAAAUUCAUGUGAUGUGGAGUUUAUAGAUCCAGCAAUAUUGGCUAUUGGCAAGGGCCGGAUACAUCUUGGACCAAAUAAUUCAGCAUUUGGGUUGAAAUCUUCAUUUCCUGAACAGAUUUGCACCUCUAGUAGCGAUCCAAGGCUUCAUCUAAUGAUGCAGCAAUCUGUUUCUUCUAAUCAGAACAUGAGGAUACCAGAUCAAAUGGGAGAAAGAUUCUUGCCAUUAAAUGAUGCAUAUAUUGCAUCUCAAUUUUUAGCAAAAAGCCAUUCCAGUGUAUCUCCAUUUUCACAGUUGUCAUACCAGCAACUGAGAAAUUCACCUUUUCCUAAUAACCAGUGGGAUGCCUGUAACAGUUACAACGGUAUACGGACUGGCAAUGAUAUAGGCAUGAGUGAAAUCUUCAGAAACGAGAGAUUUGGGCUUAAUGACUACUACACAAGCACUCAUGAAAACAAGUUCCACAUACCGAGUACAGGUGAUCUAUACAAUCGUGCAUUUGGAAUGUAAUGCUGAUCUGUUGCUGCGCAGCUUUGACCUCCUUUGUUAAGGGCACCUCUGACCAUGGAUGACAGCUGAUUCCUUGAAGCAGAUUUUUUCCAAAAAUUUUCUGAGAGCUUGAUAUUUGGCCAAUUUCCAUCAACAGGGAGGGAUACAUUGGUUUCAUUGUGCCCUAAAUCCUGAUGCUUGUGUUCUCGAGGGAGAAGGCAUACGGAGUGCUGUCAUCUUGAUGUGUCUCGUUAAAUUUUCCAGGUCAUGAUAAAUACUGCUGCUUAUGCGUGGAAUUGUUCUGAAACUUCGACUCUACAUUGAAAAACUUCCAUGUAAAUAUAUGUAUUUUAUUUAAAUUGGUGUAUACCAUUUAAUGCCCAAAGUGAUUGUAUAGUUGAAAUCGUGGUUGGCAUA